AGAGAUCACACUGGCCAAGUAUAAGUACGGAACAAUUAUUGUGUUUUCUGGCAGUUGCCAGAAGGCAUUGUCUGUAGUGUAAUAAUUUCACAAUCACAGCUCAAGGUUAAGGCUCUGUAAAGAUAGGAAAACAAAAAAAGGAGGAAAAUAAGACACUAAUGGGAAAGAUGUAGAAUUUUUCUAAUUGCUUGGCAAAUGGAAUUAUCAAAUAACAAGGGAAAAGACCACAUCUGAUAUCAAAGUAUCCAAAAGCCAUAAAGCUGAUUACCAACUGAUGCACAGUGGAAAAUAAUGGAUGAUGUGUGGUAUUGUUGCACAUUUCUGUGGAGAAAAACAAAUCAUCUAGUCUUAAAAAUUCAAGCAAUCUCUAAUGCCAGUCUGCGCUAGUUAUUUCUAUUCCUUCCUACAUUUGUGCACUGCCUGGCAAUCUCACUGUAACCUCAUGGGACCUUGCUCCACGUUGGCCUUUUCUGAACAUUCUGAAACAUUUCCAUACCUAAUGCUCCUCAACAUGUAGUUUCCUGUGUGAUGAGGAGCACACUAAGAGCAGCUGCCAGUAUGGCAAUCACUUUGUGCCUGUACUGUCACACAUCAGCUGCAAUUUUACCUGGGCCCUAUGCGCCCCUGACCUUCAGCAGCAAUUUUGCACACGCACAAGGCCACUCACCCCCUUUUCCAUGAAUCGUGCUUAAGAUUUUUACCAGUUUUCAUGAGUGGAUAAAACCACUCAGGAGACUAUGACACUCACAGUAGUGGUUCAAUGACUGAACAAAAUGACCUGGUUGCAUAAAAAUGAUGGUAAUUAUUUGCCACAGAUGUGCUGUAUUGGAGAUGGAGUGAACAGAAAAUGUACUUUUAUUGUAAAUGUAACUUUUUGAGAGCUUUUGAAGCAGUUUUAGAUUUUUACUCAUGUUUAUUCAAUAUGAACUGUUGGUACUGAUAAAUGUUAAUGAUUCAUCUCUCCUUUCUGUUACACUAUUUUUACAUUAAAUAUAA